rnacentral:rRNA from 1 species
UACGUAGGGUGCAAGCGUUGUCCGGAAUUAUUGGGCGUAAAGAGCUCGUAGGCGGUCUGUCGCGUCGGAUGUGAAAACCCGGAGCUCAACUCCGGGCCUGCAGUCGAUACGGGCAGACUGGAGUUCGGCAGGGGAGACUGGAAUUCCUGGUGUAGCGGUGGAAUGCGCAGAUAUCAGGAGGAACACCGGUGGCGAAGGCGGGUCUCUGGGCCGUUACUGACGCUGAGGAGCGAAAGCGUGGGGAGCGAACAGG